AAGGAUCAUUAUCACGUAUCCACGUAUAAACCAUCGCGAACUGUCACCUUUGGAGGGAGCAAGACAGUGGGAGGCAAUGCACAUGAGCUUUUUAUUGUGAUUUAUAGCUCGCAUUCGCCGCUCCGUAGCUUCGGCUCGUCUGCUUUCUCUGAAGCGUAUUAUAAAUCGCACUUUGAUUAACAAUUUGAACAACUCUUUAAACUUUGAACUGACUUAUUUCUUACUCUUCGGAGAAGAAAUUCAUUACGAAACAAAGAACAACUCUUAGCAACGGAUAUCUUGGUUCUC
rnacentral:misc_RNA from 1 species